rnacentral:tRNA from 1 species
GCGUUGGUGGUUCAGUGGUAGAAUUCUAGCUUGCCAUGUUGGAGACCUGGGUUUGAUUCCCAGCCAAUGCA